AUUGAACGCUGGCGGCAGGCCUAACACAUGCAAGUCGAACGAGUGGCGGACGGGUGAGUAAUGUCUGGGAAACUGCCUGAUGGAGGGGGAUAACUCCUGGAAACGGUAGCUCAUACCGCAUACCAUCAACUGUGCCCAGAUGGGAUUCGCUAGUUGGUGGGGUAACGGCUAACAAAGCCGACGAUCCCUAGCUGGUCUGCGAGGAUGACCCGCCACAGUGGAACUGAGACCCGGUCCGGCCUCCUACGGGAGGCAGCGUAGGGGAAUAUUGCACAAUGGGCGCAAGCCUGAUGCAGCCAUGCCGCGUGUAUGAAGAGGGCCUUCGGGUUGUAAAGUACGUUCAGCGGGGAGGCGUUACCCGCAGAAGAAGCACCGGCUAACUCCGUGCCAGCAGCCGCGGUAAUAC
rnacentral:rRNA from 1 species